UACGUAGGGUGCAAGCGUUGUCCGGAAUUAUUGGGCGUAAAGAGCUCGUAGGCGGUUUGUCGCGUCUGCUGUGAAAACCCGAGGCUCAACCUCGGGCCUGCAGUGGGUACGGGCAGACUAGAGUGCGGUAGGGGAGAUUGGAAUUCCUGGUGUAGCGGUGGAAUGCGUAGAUAUCCGGAGGAACACCGGUGGCGAAGGCGGCUUCCUGGACCGAUUACUGACGCUGAGGCGCGAAAGCUAGGGGAGCAAACAGG
rnacentral:rRNA from 1 species